GUUGUUUCUGCAUCUUCUAAUCUGUUCCACUGGUCCUCAAGCCUGUUUCUUUGCCAGUACCAUGCUGUUUUUAUCACAGUAGCUUUGUAGUAGAGUUGCAGGUUGGGGAUUGUGAUACCCCCUGCCAUGUCUCUGUUACCUAGAAUUGCUUUUGCUAUUCUGGGUCUCUUCUUGUUCCAAAUGAAUUUUUGGAUUGUUUUCUCAAGGUCUAUGAAGUAUGCUGCUGGGAUCUCAAUUGGAAUUGCAUUAAAUCUAUAUAGCAGUUUUGGAAGUAUGGCCAUUUUCACUAUAUUAAUCCUUCCUACCCAGGAGCAGGGGAUGUCUGUCCAUUUUCUGAUAUCAUCUUCAAUCUCUCUUUUCAGAGUGCCAUAGUUUUCAGAGAAGAGGUCUUUGAUUUCUUUUGUUAGGAUGAUUCCUAGGUAUUUCAGUUUUUUGGAUGCUAUUGUGAACGGAAUUAUUUGCCCUAUUUCUCUCUCAGUGAGUCUGUCACUGGUGUAGAGGAAAGCUAUUGAUUUUUGUG
ensembl:lncRNA